rnacentral:rRNA from 1 species
UGGGGAAUCUUGCGCAAUGGGCGAAAGCCUGACGCAGCGACGCCGCGUGAGUGAUGAAGGCCUUCGGGUUGUAAAGCUCUGUGGGGAGAGAAGAAUAAGUGCGGGCUAAUACUCCGCAUGAUGACGGUAUCUCCUUAGCAAGCACCGGCUAACUCUGUGCCAGCAGCCGCGGUAAGACAGAGGGUGCAAACGUUGUUCGGAAUUACUGGGCGUAAAGCGAGUGUAGGCGGUUUGGUAAGUCGGAUGUGAAAGCCCCGGGCUCAACCCGGGAAGUGCAUUCGAUACUGCCAAGCUAGAGUAUCGGAGAGGUUGGUGGAAUUCUCGGUGUAGAGGUGAAAUUCGUAGAUAUCGAGAGGAACACCGGUGGCGAAGGCGGCCAACUGGACGAAUACUGACGCUGAGACUCGAAAGCGUGGGGAGCAAACAGGAUUAGAUACCCUGGUAGUCCCUGAGCGGGCUGGCAAGGCGCAU